CAUUCAGUAGCUUGCUACUGUUAGGGGGGUCCAUUAGUCUGUAUAGUAUCACUACUGAUGAGCAGCACGACUCCCUGUCUAUACCCUUGUCUUUUGCGCACUCAUGUUUCCUCGGCGGCUUGACACCCGCCGGCUGGAUCAAUCUAUAACCUCUUUAAUUUUCAAUCAGCGUCUGAAAAACCUAAUAAUUA
rnacentral:misc_RNA from 1 species